CAGUUUCCGUCCAAAAUAAGCAAAGGAGCUACUAUAGAUCUGCUGAAAGAAAAAGUGUCUCAUGAUUUUUAAAUAUACAUCAGCAGAGAAAACAGAUGACACUCGUCCACCACACAAGGGGAGGGUGUGGGACUAAAUCCUGGGACGAGAUCCUGGCACUGGCCACAAAUGACCACUGUGACCCUGAUUGUGUGUGGAGUUCAUAAUGAUGCUUCAGGUUCAUGACACAUUCCUGGAGGGAAAUAAAAUCUCCUGCCAGUGGUAGAGGAUGCUCAGUGAAUGCAGCUAUACCUUCUCUCCCACACUUUUGCUGCCUAUUUCCAGCCCUCUUUGCACUUCCA